rnacentral:rRNA from 1 species
AUUGAACGCUGGCGGCAGGUCUACCACAUGCAAGUCGAGCGGAGCGGCGGACGGGUGAGUAAUGCCUAGGAAUCUGCCUGGUCGUGGGGGAUAACGUCCGGAAACGGGCGCUAAUACCGCAUACUAUCAGAUUCGCCUAGGUCGGUUUCGCUGGUUGGUGGGGUAAAGGCCUACCAAGGCGACGAUCCGUACCUGGUCUGAGAGGAUGUCCAGUAACACUGGAACUGAGACACGGCCAAGACUCCUACGGGAGGCAGCAGUGGGGAAUAUUGCACAAUGGGCGAAAGCCUGAUGCAGCCAUGCCGCGGGUAGGAAGAAGGCCUUCGGGUGGUAAAGUACUUUCAGCGGGGAGGCGUUAACCGCAGAAGAAGCACCGGCUAACUCCGUGCCAGCCGCCGCGGUAAUAC